AAGGCGGUGGAGCAUGCGGUUUAAUUCGAAGCAACGCGCAGAACCUUACCAGCCCCUUGACAUACCGGUCGCGGACACAGAGAUGUGUCUUUCAGUUCGGCUGGACCGGAUACAGGUGCUGCAUGGCUGUCGUCAGCUCGUGUCGUGAGAUGUUGGGUUAAGUCCCGCAACGAGCGCAACCCCCAUCAUUAGUUGCCAUCAGGUCAAGCUGGGGACUCUAAUGAAACUGCCUACGCAAGUAGUGAGGAAGGUGGGGAUGACGUCAAAUCAGCACGGCCCUUACGUCCAGGGCUACACACGUGCUACAAUGGCCGGUACAAAGGGCAGCUACUUCGCGAGAAGAUGCUAAUCUCGAAAGCCGGUCUCAGUUCGGAUCGAAGUCUGCAACCCGACUUCGUGAAGCUGGAUUCGCUAGUAAUCGCGCAUCAGCCAUGGCGCGGUGAAUACGUUCCCGGGCCUU
rnacentral:rRNA from 1 species